rnacentral:rRNA from 1 species
UUGACCUCGGAUCAGGUAGGAAUACCCGCUGAACUUAAGCAUAUCAAUAAGCGGAGGAAAAGAAACCAACAGGGAUUGCCCUAGUAACGGCGAGUGAAGCGGCAACAGCUCAAAUUUGAAAUCUGGCUCUCGGGCCCGAGUUGUAAUUUGUAGAGGAUACUUUUGAUGCGGUGCCUUCCGAGUUCCCUGGAACGGGACGCCAUAGAGGGUGAGAGCCCCGUCUGGUUGGAUGCCAAAUCUCUGUAAAGUUCCUUCGACGAGUCGAGUAGUUUGGGAAUGCUGCUCUAAAUGGGAGGUAUAUGUCUUCUAAAGCUAAAUACCGGCCAGAGACCGAUAGCGCACAAGUAGAGUGAUCGAAAGAUGAAAAGCACUUUGAAAAGAGAGUUAAAAAGUACGUGAAAUUGUUGAAAGGGAAGCGUUUAUGACCAGACUUGGGCUUGGUUGAUCAUCUGGGGUUCUCCCCAGUGCACUCUUCCAGUCCAGGCCAGCAUCAGUUUUCGCCGGGGGAUAAAGACUUCGGGAAUGUGGCUCUCUUCGGGGAGUGUUAUAGCCCGUUGUGUAAUACCCUGGCGGGGACUGAGGUUCGCGCAUCUGCAAGGAUGCUGGCGUAAUGGUCAUCAACGACCCGUCU